UACGUAGGGUGCGAGCGUUAAUCGGAAUUACUGGGCGUAAAGCGUGCGCAGGCGGCUUUGCAAGACAGAUGUGAAAUCCCCGGGCUCAACCUGGGAACUGCAUUUGUGACUGCAAGGCUAGAGUACGGCAGAGGGGGAUGGAAUUCCGCGUGUAGCAGUGAAAUGCGUAGAUAUGCGGAGGAACACCAAUGGCGAAGGCAAUCCCCUGGGCCUGUAUUGACGCUCAUGCACGAAAGCGUGGGGAGCAAACAGG
rnacentral:rRNA from 1 species